UUAAGAUAUUACAGGGUGUCUACAGAUAUGAACAAAUUAAAUUUAAGACUUUUUAAGACCAUUUUAAUACGAGCUUAUGUGAAAUUUAAG